GUCCCAAGUUGGAAGGGACCCACAAGGAUCACUGAGUCCAACUCCUGUCCCUGCAGUCCAACUCUUGUCCCUGCCAAGGUGUGUGGCUCCUAUAUCCCAGGCAGCUGUGGUGGACAACUAGGGCACCAUCAUGCCUACCAUGACAGCUACAGGUCUGGUUUUUGGCAUCCCAUGCUGUCUGGGGUUUGCCAAAGCAGUGUGGUAAGUAUACAGCGCUGCAAGCAAGAAUUCACCAGAGGAGAAUAAUUUGGCUGGAAAAACCUAAACUCAUUUCUAAAAGAGCUCAGCUAUGGGAUUUCUGUCCACUGAAAAGCAUCACUCCGCUUUUAUUCUAAAUACAGUUCGGAGUGCUCCUUUAUUUUUCAGAAUUGACUCAGAAAGACUACAGGAGGUCACCAAUUAGUGAAAUAAACCUCUAAUCCUCCGUGCAGUGCCUGCUAUAGGACUGCUGUUUAACAGCCUUCUUGCUAAUCAAUUCUCUUCAGUCAGCUAAAUGCCAUAGAUGCUAUGUAAAUAAAUGCAAGUUUAAGAGUUUUUUCAGUGAGCAGCUACAGCUAUGUUCCUUCUACUCCACCAUAAAAUCAGCAUGCAUGUUAACAGAGAUCUACUCCACCUUGUACAAAUGACUUUUCUUGUUCAUUUAAUUGCUACAGCUUGAGAAAAACAGAAGAGGGGAAUAGCAAUAAACUGCCUGUUCUUGAGCAACGUUUUAAAAAUCUGAUACCUCAAUGGAAACCCAGGCAUAGAACAAAGAUAGAUAUUUUAGAUUCCACAGUUCAGGUUGUUAUUUUACUUCCACACUUUAUAGCUUCUUUACUACAACCCAGUAUCCUUUAACAUAGAGAUGAAUGUAUUAUCUCAAAGAGAAGAAGACAACAUCAGGAUGAUGAAAUUACUUGCUCUGAAUUAACCAGUGAAACUUGAAAUAAAGCACAGGUCUUGUGUGCUUAUGGCACUGAGCAGCCAUUAUAAACAAAGUAAAUAAGAUGAUGAUGUAUCCUGCAGGUUUCACUGAGUUGUUCACAUAACAUUCUCUGUCUUCAUGCUGAUCUUGAAUAAAUAAAACAUUUUGUUUGAAUGUCUAUCAUUUAAGAAUGAUCCAAAGUCCCACUGUCUUGCCUGUGUAGGGAAAUGUAACCUUUUCUCUUUUUCUUUUUUUUCUUUUUUUUUUUUCUUUUCAGUGUGGGUUUUGUUUAUAAUUUCUGAUGACGUUAUGUGAUGCAUAUCAUGGGUGACUUCAAACACUCAUUUUUUUUACAGAUAAAUUACAUUAAUUAUACAAAUUCUUUCUGUAUAAUGGACACAUUAAUCUAGUAAUGUCAUAUACAUUAAUAGUAACUAAUUUCCACAUAUAUUAUCAAUAUUUUAGCAUGUAGAACAUGUGAUAAGCUUUUCACUGAUUAAAAUAGUGAGACAGCUGAGGUAAACUAUACUGACAAACCAUAUGCAUCUGAAGUAGAACUGUUGAAACCUAAGAAUUUCAUGAAGUAGAAACAAACAUACCACGUUUUUUACUCUCCAAAUGAUACCAAUUUAGGGGCCGCUGCUCAUUUCCUCCUAUGCACACAUACACAGAAAAUUUUCAGCAUUUUAUUAAGUAUAGAGAAUUUAACCUAUUGACAUACCGCACAUGCAAAGCAAUCCUGAAAUCUUUCCCAGGCAGUAAAAUGAUUUCAGAAUAUGUUUAUAACAGGCAAGAUUGCUUAAAGAGGAAUCUUUCUGAAUCCAGUAACAGAAAAAGGUGGUAGCUGUCCCUGCAAAUUCAGCCUGGUGCGAACUGAGGGACAGAAGACCGAUUAUGCAAAAAAAUAUAAUUGAACAGAACUCAGUGAAUCCUGGUGAAAUUCCAUGACAGCAAAAUAUAACAAUUUACUUGGAGAAUAUUAAGAAAUUUGUUUUGUUUUGUUUUUAAAGUUCAUUUCAAUUUUAUUUUUAGUAUGAGAAUCUCAGAAAUUUGAGCUUGGGUUUUCGUAACUUAUCAACAUGCUAUUCAUUUAGAAAAACAUUGGGGUUUUUUCCCUACCUUGCAUUGGACUGAAAAAAUACAUUAUUAAUACAAACCAGCUUUAUAAUAUGUAGCAUAAUUUCCUGCCAACAGUGUCUACUGUUACUAGGGCUAGUGGUUUGUCACAAUAAAUCAUACAAGUUGUCAUGGGGAAAGUGCAAGGCAAGCAUCAUGAGUGCAUGGUAAAUAACAUGGAUCGUUUUAUCUGAAUACAGAACAAUUUUGUUAACUAUUUAUCUUUAAUUCAGUGGCAGCAAUAGCACAGGACUAUUAUUGCUCCCUCUCAGUUUCUGCUGCCCUGCCUGUGCAGAGGGAAUGGAGCAUGUAGUCUGAUGGGGUUGUGGGCUCCUGCCUGUCGUCCAUAGACUCCUGAGCUCACAGAUGACUUCUGUGGGGGCUGCCAGGAGGCGAGCCAGGUGGGCAAGCCCGUGCUCAGUGGAGUGGAGCUCAUCCCACCCGCCUUCAGCCCUCUGCUGGAAAACUGUAGGGAUCUUUGAUGAGACAAGCUGAAAAUCAUUGCUAUGAUAGAUUUUUCACAAAGGCUGCCCUGUCCCUGUAGAAAGUAAUGUCUCUGGUCUCUCUCUCUCUCUCUGAUCACAGCUGAGAUGUAGGCAUCCUCAGUCACUCACCCACAGAAGUCCAUCUCCUUCCACUGAUUAGAGGAUCAGCCCUGGUGGAUGAACUUCCAGGAGAUAAAAUUUGCCUCUGUGAAUAUUGGCUCCUGUUAAGCUCAACUCUAUCCAAACCAGAGGCAUCACAGAACCAUCAGGGAUGCCUUUACAUUAAAAGCAGUUCUGUCAAGCCACCGCCCACCUUCCACUGACAAGGCAGGUCCUACUCCCUCUCUCCUGCCCCCUUUCCCCAGCUGCAGGUGCCCUCCUCCCUCCUCACAUUGGCUGUGGCAGUUGUGUGGCCUCAGGGUGAGUCGGCUCAGUUGACAGGUUGACAUAUCUAGCAGUAAACUGUUCUUUAACUUGCAUAUUUAUUUAUGUACAGGGUUAGAUUUCCACUGGGUCAAUUCUCUGAAUUGAUUUCCCUCAGGGUUAUCUGAUUGCUAGAGUCAUCCCAAGGGGAAUGGGUUGGGAGACUGUGGCUUGGGGGAGGAGGGAAGAUGAGGAGGGGGACCUCCUCCCUCUUUCUUGGCAGGACUCCGUGAGAUCUGAAGUCAUAACUAGAAGAUGAAGCUCGAUGGCAGGUUAAGCCAUUGGGGCUGCCCUGCCUUCUUCCUGGCUACUGCUAUUCACUCCUGCCGUGUCCUCAUCCCAGCUCUGGGGCUCAGCUGCAGGGGCAGUGAGCCAGCUGCAGGAGCUGACUUUGCAGAAAGCCCAAUGCUUCCCUGCAGUCUUUGUUUUCAGCUGCAUUGGCAGAACUGCAUUUCCCUACUUGCUGCAUAUACAGGCAAGAGCCCACCCACCCUGUUGGCAGGGAGCAAGCAGGGUAGGAACAUGGGACCCUGGCAGAUGGAUAGGAUGCAGAUUGGCUUGAGCUACUUUGGAAGUGCCUCUGUGAUAUCCAGAGGAAACCAUGAGCUCUAGCUGUGAGACUGCAUCCUUGAGAGUCCCCCUGGAAGCUUUCACUGUGUCUCUCUUCCCAUAUCAUUCUCCUCUUAGGAAACAAAAGUCAUCUUAUGGCAAGAGCUGUGAAUUGAUUUUUAAAUACAUGAAGCCAGCUGAAAACAAAAUGUAUGUGACAGCUAUCACUAAACUGCAGCUUUAACAGUGAUGGCAGCCUAGAUGUCGAAACAGUGCUGAAAAAGUCAGAUGCACUGCUGCGGCAGCUGUCAAAACCUGACAUGAUGGCAGGUAUCCUUCCUCUGUGUACACACAUGCAUCCCAGAAGCCAGAACUGUCUUUCUGCAUCUGGCUUAUAAAAGCUUACUUCUUAUGCUACAGAUAUCAGUUCAGUUUUGUUUUCUUCUGUAUGAUGAACAAAUGUGAUCAUUCUGUUUUGGUAAGCCACAGCUGUGAGAUACCUCUGACAGGGAAUCUGCAAAACCAAAUUCCCCGGCCUGAUGAAUAUUCUCAAAACUAAGCAAAUUCAGACUUCUGUACACGGAAGAUUGCACAGGCUUUCACAAGAUGUAAGGGACUGUCAAAAGAGAACAGCAAAUUCAGUUAAAAACAAAAAUCACCUAUGAGAACAGCUGUAACAGUAACUAAAAGUACCUAAAAAGAACAGAGGGCAACUAUGUCUUCCUGAGAUACAAAGCAUUAGCUGUUACAGGCCUGUUUUAUCACUGUAUUAUACCGGUUUUAUGCUGGUGUAAAAACAGAAUGAUAGAGCUGUGCUGAAUAUCACUAAGUAUGCAUCCCUUUGGUUCUGUAAUACACUCUCACAGGCAUUAAAACAGCUAAUAAUUGAGCAAAUAAAAGAAAAACCUACUAAAAAUGAAAUGGUAAAAAUGUCAUGUGCACAGAAAGACAAUCAUUAUGCUCUUUGAUCAAUGCAGUUUUACUGUAAUGAUCCAGCCUGAGGAACAACAGAAAUUUAUUGAAAAUCUAAUUUUUAGUAAGAAAAAGACCUCUUGCAAAGUAGCAUUAAAAUGUCUUUGAUAAGUAACUAAACCAGGCUGAAAGUUUCUUAAAUACCCUGAAGUUACUUGAUCACCUUACCAUGUUAUUUAAUGCUUGCAGCUCUUCAAACCUUGAUCUGUUUUUAAUGAGUUUGUUGUACAGUACUUUAUUGGUUUAGGACACCCUUAGAUUCACAGUAACUUACUCACAGAAUAACAUUCCGUUUAAGAGAAACAAAUGUGUGACCCUCUCUGUAACAGAAGCACAUUCUAAGUGGACAUUAAGCCACAUGUUGAAAAAUGUAUAUGCUCCUCAAGGCAUAUGUUUCAUGUUGUGAGAAUUCAUAUUUCUUUAAAAUUACACAUGAGGCUCUCUCAAGUGCAAAAGGUGUUAGGAAGCACACUUGGAAAUACUGUGAAGUUCUGGAAAUGCCAAGAAAUCCAAUUUCUAAACAUGUUUAUUUGAACAAAAUAUGUCAAUAUGCAGAGUGAUUGCUGGGCAAGAGCAAUGCAGGAAAAGAACUUGCAAAAAGGGGGCCAGCAUGGCUGGGAUUAGCAUAUUGUGAGAAAAGUACACCUUGCAUGGUAGCAGGACAUUCAAAUAAUGCAGUAACAAAUGGCUCCAUUUAAUUACAUUUAUGAUCGGUUACUUUUAGCUAUUUAAAAUAUCACAAAUGUAUUGCUUAUGUGAUUGUUUCAAAUAAAUACUUGGUUGCAUUCAGUCAGUAAUAAUCAGCAGCAAUGUUACUUUUACAGUAAAUGUACAUGAAGUUUAUGAGUAACUACACAGUGGGACACAAAGUUAUCUAUUUGGCAUUUCCAAGUUUUAUGAGUUUCCUCCAGAAGAAACUUCUGAGAAGCCUGUUUACCCAUGUAGAUAUCUAUAUACACUCAUUUACUGUAAGUGAAAGCAGGUUUGUGUCAUCUGUUACAUUUAUUUUGAUUGACUAUAGAUUGUUCGCCCUUUGAUUGCUGCUAAUGUUCUGUUGAGCCAUUUGUUUUCCUGCAGAGUUAAUGGUACUAAAGGAAAAGGUAUUGCCUUCUUUUUAGGCUAAAUUAAUUUUUAAAGUGUUUUUAUUUAAAGGGGAAAAAACCCCAGACAAACUGAUUGCCCGUUCUCUCACCUGUGUACUUUAGGAAUGUGCACAAACACCUGGAAAAUGAGGCUUAUUACAGAUUCAGGGAGAAUAAUUUUGUGAGGUGCCCUCCAUUAAAUUAUUGGCAACAGAUCACUUGUCCCUCAGGACACACAACACUUGCAUUUCUACUUGGAAAAUCUAGAAGGAAGCUGGUCUAAAUUUAUCUACUAUUUAUCCUGAAAAGUUUUAAUAAAGGCUUAAUUAUGAAGGGGUUUCCAAGUAAUGAAUUGUGGCUGGUGAAGGUAUCCCAGCACAGGGAAAAUAAUUGUUCUGCUGCAUAUUUCAGAAUCUUGGAGAUUAGGAAUGUGGCCGGUGGAAUUUAUGAAAAGAAGUGUAAAUAAAUACAUCAAGAUGUGAUCAUUCAGAUAUUGUUUCUCAUAAUUGCUCUUUCUCCUCCUUUUGCCUUAUUCUCCGCAGUUGCACAAACCUGACUAAGUUUUGCAAAAGUGGGGUGGGCUGAUAGCUGGCACAGGGACCCAGGGGCUGGCUGCUGGCUCACCCAAAAUCAGGACGGGCUGGUCCCACUGCGAUGCACUCAAAGGGUUCCAGCCUUCCUUAAGAACCCUUCAAAUAUACCUUCUCAAGAGAAAGAAAAAAGAUGAAGGCUUGGGGUUUUCGUUGUCAGUGUUAACCAAAGAAAGAUACUGUACCUGCUGCAGGUGAGGGCUUUGCCACCUUGCAGACCUGCUCUGGCGGUGAUCGUCCUUCCUUUGCUUUCUGUAGAGGACCUUGUUGAUAAUAGACUUUUCUCCACCUGAAAAAUUGAAGCAGUUUUGCUAUUUGUCUUUCCCACUGGAGUUUUUCAAUGGCAGGUGUGCUACAGCAGCCUGGGAGAGCUUGAAGAGUCCACUGUUCUCACACCAGAGAGACAGAGGAAGGUGCGUGGGCUUGAAAAGCCUUUCAAGAGACUCUUGAACUUGAACUUGGUUGCCUUUGUGCCUGUUUUGAGUGAAAGCGAAGAGCUGAUCAGUCCUAAUGAAAAUGACAUUGCAGCAAAGAGAACUUAAAUCCUAAGCAUGUUUUGCUUCAAGACAAUGCAGACUUCCCCAUUUGGUCACUGGUCUGUCUUUCUAUUUCAGUGCUACUGUAGGAAUGUAAAUUAAGACUAACAAGGAAAAAUAUGGCUGCUCUUCCUAAGUAGAUGCUUAGUUAUGGCCAUCAGGGGUAAAUUUUAAUUAUGAUUGAGGGAAUUGAAUACUAACGUUUUUUUCUUUUGUUUCAGACUGUAAUUAUCUUGUUUUAUACCUUUAUGGUCAGUGCUUGUUUUCACAGAUAGAUUUUGUGCAGUUCCUUAUACCACAUUUAAAAAUAAUCUGAAAUGACUAGCACCAUGAUUAAGACUGAAACUGGGAACAGCUCUUCCUAAUAACUGGAGAUAUGAUGAGCAAUUGUAAUUUAUUUUGGCUUUUUAUGUCUCCAUGAGUUUUACAAAAAGCAAACAAACAAAACAGGUCAACAAUCCUGUACUUCUGUUUUGCCAAACUUGUGCCAUCCACUCCUGGACUCUGUGAGCUGUGUCCACCCUAUGGGAAAACUGUGGGCUGAGCACAUCUGUCUAUCAGGUGUUGCUGCAUCCCUCCAGAGCACAACAUGGACAUGAACUGCACUGCAUCUCAUCCACCUUGCCACUCCUCCCUCUGUGCCACAUCCUCAAGCAGUGUCCAGACACAAGAAAAACACCUACACGUAUAUGGGAAUAAAGUGAUGCCUUUCCUUCAAGUGGGGCCAAGUUCUUUCUUUUAUUCCUCUUUUCCUCACAUAAGGAGAAAAGCUUGCAAGGUAAAUGAAUGCAGCUUUUAAAACAAGCCAUUUAAAGCAAGGCUGAGAGGUGCAAACAAGCUGAACUGACUUCCACAGAAACAAAAGGGAAGAGAGAUCUGUCCAAGGGGAAAAGCAGCCCUGUGUUUCUGCUCAGCAGCUCACAAGGAUGUGAUGACUGAGCUGGCAAAAUCAGAGGACCCAGUGGAUGGGAACCCGCACUGCUAAGCGUGUUGUGGGGCUACAAGAAGGCAUCACAGAGAUGCUUCAUCCCAAAUCCUCCUCCCAAAGCAUGUCUGCUGAGAAAGGGUCCAUUGGAACCUGUCUCAUUGCAAGAUACUGUGGAAGUACUUUAAGCAAUUAAAAAAUUUUGUCAGUUUUUUUCAAGGCUAAGCAUUUGGAUUUGGGGGGAGUUGCAAGCUUGCUUUUUUAGAUGUAAUUGUGUAAAAAACAGAUGUUUCACAUUUCAACCAGUUAUUGUGAACCUUGAGGUCUUGUGCUGCACUCAGACACAUCUUAAUGCUUAGAGGUUUGGGACCAUCUGGUAGACCAUCCAUACGCUGUCACACUGUCCUUUCAGUAAUUACUCAGACAUAAAAAAACCCCUCACUUUCAUGAUUUUUCUUUUAAUUUAGUUGACAUUAGUACUAGCAUACAAAUAAAACUCAUAAAUUUAUUAGAUAUAUGAAUGUAUCAGUAAUACCAGUGUUGAAUGACUAAGUAAGAUAAGAAUGUUUUUUUUCUCCUCCCCUGCAUUUCCAUGGAAUAAGAAACUGGUAAUAUGCCUGAAAACCCUCUUUUAAAAUGUUGUUUCACAAUCACUGACUAGAAAGAUGAGAACAUUUCCUGAAAUGUUGUGGUUUGAAUAAAGUCACAGUAAAGAUCAAAUGGAAAAGUUGCACUGUGUACCAGGUGAGAUAUAUGAGUCUUUCAACCACUAAAUUUGCUCUUUUGUCAUUUUGAAUAUUUACUGGCAAAAUAACAAAAUUAAGAUAUCUCUACUUAUUUUUUUAUGCACAUAUCUGUAUUUAUAUACGUAGACAUAUAUAGUAAGUACCAAGAUUUUGUUUUUUUCCCAUGCAACUGCAAAAACGAAGUUACUUCAGAAAAUUAAGCAGUAGUAAAAUGUUGUUCUUGAAAGACAAGAAAGCAUGAAUAAAUAUUAGAUUUAGAACAACAAAAGUUCACCUGGAAAAUCGUGCCACUACGGCAAGUGCUAACUAUUGUUCCUUACUGAAGUGUGGCUGGAUAGUCACCUACAGCUAUGGCACUGUGGUAGAUGUCUUUGAAUACUAUUGAUGUCUGCAUGCUAAUGGCUGUGUGCUUUUCUUAAAAUUGUUAACUGAAAUAUAUAGGAAAGUAAAUUCAAUAAAACAAAAUGAAUAACAAGAGUGCCAGUCCAAAUAGUGCAUUGAAAGCCAUAGAACUACAAUGUGUUGUCUGGCUUAUAGUGUAUCUGAAGUUCAUCUGAAAGUUGGAAGGGGCUGCAGGAAGUCAUCUAAUACACCUAAGAGAUAACAAUGCAAAUCAGUUUUCGUGGCAGUUAAGGUAUGUGUGGUGAAAACAGAGGUAGAUGCAUGUUCAGAUUAAUGAGUUACACUAGGUAUGAUAGGUGCUGAAAUACCAAGAAUUGAUUGCCAAAUUUGUUGCUAUUCACAUUCUGGGCAAAUGUUUGGGAAUAUGAGAAAAGUCAUUAACAUCCGUUCUCUAAACGCAUACCAGUGUAAUGAUUAGCAAAACAUCUGAAAACAUACUAUGCAGCUCUCUGCAGAACUGGCUGCUGACAUGACCCAAUAAUUUUGUCUCACAUUUUGUCUUAACAUUUUGUCCUAUUUUGUCUUUUGCCUCCUGGUCUCCUAGCAUGACAUUUUUUGUCCUAACCUGUGAUGUUGGAGACUAAAAUGAAAUAUAUGACGAAGCCUUCAUUUCUCUGGGUUUGUAGGAAUAUUGACUUGCUGAGAGUUAAUCACACAUCACGUAGGCAUUUUGAAUGGUCAUUUUAACCCUGCAGCACUGUGGCAUGUACCAAAGAAAACUGCAAAGAUCAAUGUUAUUCACAAUGUUUGUUUAUGGCAAAAACCUAUGCUUAUAAUUUAUCCUAGCUCACUUCUGAAAUCUGGUGUUGUCAUGUAAAGCCAAACAGAGAUGUUGUUAUGAUGAUGAUUAUUAGCGUUAUUAUUGACGUUGUUUAUAAAUGAAAGCCUGUUUAGGAGAACAGUUACAUGAAUGCUUUAGUCCUAUGGAACAGAAAGGACUGCUGAGCUACCCCUGUUUGUUUAAAUGUUAUUCUAAAUAGAGAUGAACCUGAACAUACGUUUAAGUGCUUCACUGAACUGAAGCCUACUAGAGAUAUGGAAAGUCUCAUUUUCUUCAUGGGAUGAACCUUUGUUCAUUCUAGCUAGACCAUGCAGGCAUAAAUCAUGCUGAACAGCCAAAGAAGUAUCUCCCUACAUAAAUUCCUGGAUUGCUUAAACUUAACACCUAAUUACAGAGCUGGUGAACCUAGAUACACCGAAGGCGGUUUGAAAGGCUGCCUGAAACAUCAUGGGUUGAGACGCCUUUGUUGGGAGCAUUGUGCUGUGAUGUGUAAUGUGGGUAGAUUCCUGUGGGAUGUUGACAGUUUAUGGGACAUGCACGUAGGAGGAACUGGGUUAUGAAGACCAGGAUUUUAGGGGUUUUUUCUCCCUUUCAUUGUACUGUUGUGGGCUUGGGGAUUUUUGGGGGGUUUGGUUUUUUUUGUUCACUUUUUAAGGUAGGGGGAAGGAAGAGUUUCUGGCUUUGGAAAGAUUUGGUGAAUGCACGCAUGCAGCAUGUCAUGAGUCACUUUUUUCUGAAGUUUUGAUACUAUACCAGUCCUUCUAUCCCAAAAGGAUGCUGGUCGAUGGUCUUGAAAGCUCUAAUGUUCCUUUUUUGCUCAUGGCAUUUAUAUGGAGUGAUAAUCACUUGAUAAGCCAUGGAUUUAUGUAAUAAAUUAAUUAGCUCUGCAGUGUUUCGUCUACUCUCUGCCUGCCAGUCUGUCUCUACUGGGACUUGUUCAGUUUUUUUCCAAACAGUUACAAACAACUCUGAGUAUUAUCACUUCCUUUUAAAUCAUUUGUCGGGAAAAUGUUUUCUCCUCUCCACACUAGAAGUGGAUUUUCUUCUCGCCAAGAAAAUUCUGACCCAAGGUGUGGGGCUGGCACUAUUUGAAUCUGCAUCAGCAGUGGGUUCUCCACGUGUAAACAUGCAGAGUUUAAAUUUCACUGGCUUACAGCAGUGAAAGGAUAGGGCCAAAAGCUUUGCCAUUGGAAAAGGGCAAAUCUUACCUUCAUGAACAUCUUCUGACUCUUGCAUCUGGUAUCAACAGGGCAUGAGAUAUCACAUUUGAAGGAGCAAAGCCAUUAGUUAUAGAAAAACUAUUUUCAUGCCACCCUUCCUCUUGUACUUUCUUUUUCCUCUGCUGACUGCUGGAAUUGGCACAUGAUACCAGACCAGAAUCUGUUUAGUCCAAAGAUGGUGUCUAUAACUUAUUGAAAAAUAUUCCUUAAACUUAAUGAAUUUGCAUAUUCUAAUUUUCUUUACAAGUGUUCAGUCCAUUUUAAUCCUGCUAGAACAAAGAGUUCCAGAGAGUAAUUUUGCAUUUAUGCUGUGUGAAAAAAAUGCACUCUUUUAUGACUCCUUAUCAGGUAAUGUUUCUACUUCUUGCAUAAGAGAAAUGUUGAAUAGGGACACAGGAUAUUUCAUGUGUAUUAGUCUCAUCAUAUGGCAACCUCUAAUAUAUUCCAUAUUCCUUCCUAUUUUGUCUUUAAAUGGGCCUAAUCCUUUUUAUCUUUUAAUAUUGAAAAUUCUUCAUUCCUCUACUUAUUUUAAUUUUUUUUUUAAUCUGAAAGCCCUCUGUUAUUUUAUUAUCUCCUAUAAAACACUGACCAAAACUGAAUGCAGUAUCCCAGUUGGCAGUGUAUUAUUCAUUUACCUACCACAUUAUGCUGUUUGUAAUGUCUUUUCCACCCUGUUUCUUAUGCCUCAUGAUACAUCAUUUGCCCUUUUUUUUCGUUUUGCACAGACAACAUACACUACAGAAGCUUGCCUGCAGAGAUGUUGUCAGGAGUGAUCCAGACCUUUUUCAAAGUGUCACAGUUUGUAAGUCAAUAAAGUGUCUGUGACUCACCGAACACUUCUGCUAGUGAUUGCUGCUUUUUAUUUAUCAGUAUGUACUGGGCUGCCAUUCUCCUGGCCUUGUUAGAGUCCUCUCCAUGUUUUUCCUCAACUUUGGCUAAUACUUUAUAUAAAGAUGUGUGUCUGUGUUCUGCAGAUGCUCCCACAUAAACAUACAGGCCUGUCUUGGGUUCAUUGCCAUCAACAGCCCUGCUAGAAGACGUGGGACAUCCCACCUCUGUUUCUGCCAGGCCAUCUAUGUUGUUUGUCCUUACUUUGCAUUUCACGCCUCCAUGCUGUGCCCCAGUUGUGAGCACAGAGCUGUUACCGGAGCUCAUGCAGGCAUAUCUGAGCUGCCUUUGAACUUGUUAGCUCAGGUGAAGCUGGCAGCAAUGGGUAGUGUGGGAGGCAGCAAGCCCUCCUGGUUUGCACGGCCUCCCUGAGGUAGCUGUGAUGAUCUCGGUGCUGAUACACAUACCCUUCUGCAGUUCGGGAACUACGCUAGCAAAAAAUUACUUGCGUGAAGUGCCUCAGCUUUCAGCUGCACAUCAGAGAGCAACUUGUUCAUAGCCUUCGUAACUCAGCCACGAGGAGGGUUUCACCAGCACACCAGGCUGUCCUGUGUAUUAAACUACCUUUCUGGAAAAAGAGAAGAAAGAAAAAAAAAUAAAAGAAGGGGGGAAAAAAGGGCACUUUUUGACAGUUCUAGUGCAUUGUAUCUACUGAGAUAACUCCACCAGUUUCAGUUUUUUAUAGGUCUCCACCUAACAAAACUAAGCAGUUGCUUAGUAUUAAGUGGGAUUUUUCCUAUGCUCAAAUGCAAAUGCGUACUCCUAUGCUGUACUCAGAGGAAAAAUGUCUGUUGAAGUACUUUGCUGAAGAAAUAGGGUACUUCAUGGGAUCUAAGCCUUUACACUUGAAUUUAUAAAAAGCUCCUUUUGUAGCAUGCAGAGCAGGUACAUGUUCCAUGGUCCUGUGCUAUGAAGGCUGCUUACUGAUAGCUGAAAAUGUUGGUUGCACUAUCUCUGUAAACUCAGACCAAAAGAACAUUCAGAUUAAGCAUUAAUUUGAGCAAGAUUAAGAGGAAGGGAGAGAACAUGUGCCCAGUUACUCACCAGAGGUACACACGUAUGCACAAAGUAAAUCCCCAACCUGUUAUAGUAAUGCACUUAGUUACUGGAAAUGCAAUAUUAGCUUACUUUCAUGAGCAAGGAUGAAAGAACUUUUUUAACCUUUGUACAGCAUUUUCCACCCACACAGACAAGUGACAUCAGAUGCUUCGUAUAGGUAAAAAACAAGUCAGCAUUUGGGAGACUCCCGAACAAGAGACAGAGAUACCUCCCUACCAUUAAGAUUGUUCACUUAGCUAGCUACAUGCUUAGGCUGGGUCACUUGAAACUUCUUGUUAGUUAUUUCUGAAUCCUAAUUACUUCAAUGCAGAAAGAGAACCCUUCAGCCCUGUGCACAAAGCACUGGACGAAAACACUUGCUAGAAGUUAUUUUAUGUUUGCAUAUGCAGUACAAAGUAAGGCUUUUGCAUUGAAAUUGGAGAAUAUCUUACCAAUAUGCUGCUGAUAGAAUUAUUUGCGCUGAACAGGGAUUUUCACAAGGUCAGUCAUUAGCUGACCUUUGAGUAAGAGCAUAAAGCCUUGGAACAGGAGUUUAAAUGAUCCUCACUGACACAGCCAGGUGAGACACAGGCUGGAAGUGUCUAACUCUGUGCAACUCCUGGGUGGAUUUUGGACCACUUCGGUGUCACCUAAAAAUACUGCAGGAUUUCUGAAGUUCAAGGUAUCUAAUCUUUGCAGACCAUCUCCACACUAAUAUUUCAAAACAGGUUGGGGCUUAGUUCCUGCGUGUCCCAGCAUACGACAAGGAAGGAUUUGGUUUUAAUUGACAUUUUUGACCUAUGUGAACACACUUAUUCCUCUUUCCUCCCUCCUUCUUACCCCUGCGCCCCCCCCCCCCAAAGUGUUUGAGAAAUAAACUUUGAAGUCCUGGGAGAAGUAGCAUGUCUUUGUGAAGGGAGAAGGCGGGGGUGGCGAAGGUGGCGGAAGGAGUUCAGUUUGUCAACAUGACAGCCAGGAAACAAGUUAUUUAUAACGCUUGUGGUGGAGAGGGGGCCAGCCCACAUGUUUUUAAAAAGAGUUUAACUAAUCGCGUGGUGCAGCUAUAAUAAUUCUGUUAUUUGUAAAUACAUUUCACUUGCAGUCUUGGUGGACAGAGGGGGACUGAGAAGAGGGCCGUAACAGGUCUGGCUCAACACAUCUACUUCAGGUUGCUGCCCCCAUGCCGCUGCCCAGCUCCCUCUGGGCUUCAGCGAUGCUCCUGAAAAGGACUUUGCUGUCCCUAGAGAAAGCACGAGAGGAGGCACACAGGAACCGACGCUUUCUCAGAAUUCAAAAAUCUCUUAUUUAGAACACAGCUCUGAUGAUGCACAGCCUAAAUUUUGAACGAGUUCUUAAACCACAGAAUAUCUCCUUUUCAGCUGUGUUUCAUGACUUUAUCAAAGAGGAAGUUAACUGUGAGAGGCAUAUGACCAUGAGACUAUACUUGGCUGGACUGGCAUCAAAAGGAGUGAAUUUUGGACAUGCAAAGAUUUUUAAAAUCACUGUUUCAGUACAGUCACAUUUAGAUUUUAUUUUUUUCUUCAGUGUAGGGCAUAUAGUGAGUUAUUCUUGUGGACUGAACAAUACUCUAAGUCCCAUGAUGUAUGCAUGACGCAGACUUGACACUGCUGCUACAUUCCUUCAGUUCAACAGCCAUGUGAAAGCUGCAUUAUCCUGAGCUAAAAAAGGUCAAAAAAUAGCUUUAUCUUGUGAAAGCCUGUAAUUCAAUACUUGACCAUGCAAACUUAAAUCACAUGUGUGUGCAUCAAUAUGUAUGCAUACAUGUAUGGAUGCACAUGAACACAUGAACCGAUAUAGAUACACACCAGUAUUGUGUUAGUCAAUAUAGCUAUAUUUUAGUUCCAUUUUCUUAUAGAAAAAAAAUAAACAAGUCAUUUUUUCUUCCUUGAAGAACAGUUAAAGACCUAAACACAUGGCAUAGCAGAUUAAAUCUUGAGGAAUAUGCAAGCAUGUGUACCUUAUUUUUAUACUUGGGAAAGUCAAUAGAAAAUAAUAUUUUAAUGAUUAAAAAUAUAUUAAAAUCUAUACUGAGGUCUAGCUUGUUGAAGAAAAGUCAGGAAGAGAAGUCACAAGAGGUAUUGCUGCAGCAACUUCCCUGACUUACAUUAGUUUAGUGGUUAGAAGACUAAAAUUACUUAAGGGCAUGACCCACCCUUCUUGCUCCAAGAGUUCUCCUGCUGGGAUCCUGCUGAUCUCUGGCAGCGCAGUAGUUGUAGGUCCAGGGCGGGAAAUGCUGAGUAGUGUGGGGUAAAAUUUCUGGCUGAAAUUCCAGCCCUAUUGAGGUUGGCAGGUGUUUUACAACAGGCUGCAAUGGAGAUUUCUCUUUCUCCAGAAGAGAAUCUAGGAACCAGAAUUAAUACCCAGAUACAGAACUGUGGAAGUUUUAUACUUUUUAGUAUCAAGGACCUGCUCCUGGUCCAGAAGAUCACAGGAUGAACCAGGAAAGGAAAUGACGGAAUAGUAUGCAGUGGCUAUAUUACUGAUUUCCUUGUGUUCCAGAAUGGUAGGACAUUAGGAUCAGUGGCAAUUUAAGUGUAUCUUGCUGGCAAGAUUUACCAGAGCUUUCCUACACCUGAGAUAGAAAGAAUACAUUUGACAACUUUUGCUCUCAUUAGAACAAAAGAAAGCAAAGCAAACCAGAAGACAUCCAAGAGAAAACUUGGAAAGCUACAUUUUGAAAGCAAAAACUUCUAAAAGGAACAAACAUUUGGAAAAGGUCUUUUAGAAUACAAACGCUUAUGUACCCUAAAAUGCAGGACACACUGUGCUCUUCCAGUACUGCAUAAAAUGAUGGAAAUUACUGCACCCUUAGCAUCAUUGUGAGGUGUCUUAGUUCAUAGGUAGCAGAACAUGACACUGGUAUGGCACUAACACAAGCACUUACUUAAAAGUUACAAUUCAUAUCCAGUCUGUAAAGUCUCACAAAUAGGAAAAGAUUAAAUGGAAUUCUCAUUAGAUUAAUGUGUAUAUGAAAAUAGAUAUUCUAGCCAGCAACUCUGUUUCACUUCUCAGGCCAAUUAGACAGAACAGAAAUCUAUUUAGGGAUGCAUGGACAGAGAAAUUAUAUCUCCAUUUUAGUAAUAAUAAGGGAUUUCACAAACUUUGGUUUCUUUUUUAUUGUAUUUAUUUAUAUUCCUGGAUAGAGACAAUGAAUCAGCAAAAGCUGCCCUGGCCCUACAAAAUAUAAAGACCAGCUCUAGUAAAUUGUGCUGGUGUCUGAGCUCAUCAUUCCUCAUGGGACAGUUUAUUAAUCAGAUCAUAGUGUAGCUCUUCCCAGUGGAUCACAAAUAAUGUUUUCUCUGGGAAGUGCAGGAGGUUUCUACAUCUUAACACUCUCCCACAUUUAUAUCAGUCUAAUCUCCAUGCUGUGUCCUUGUGUUAGCUAAAAUAAGUGAUAGCAAGCAACAUCUUCUGGGUCUCCCAACUGUGAUAUUGGGCUGAUAUUUUCUUCAGGAAUAAAUCAGGCAAUCAAAUGCCAGCACUUCCCUCCAGUGCAGUGGCAAUAACACAUCUUUAUACUCUCGAUGUUGGAUUGUAAUUUCUUGGGAUUUUACCUGUGUUUUGAACCAUGAUCAACAAAUGAUAAACUGCUAUAAUCUGCAGAUACUAUCAAUCUAACAUGUUAGAAUACCUAUGGAUAAUUAUUUUAAUUGAUUGCAAACUAUUUUACAGGACUUAUUUUCUCUAAAUUUAUUUUUUCAGUGAUACAUAAUGACCUUAAGCUGGGAAAAAUGUUUAAACUGACAAGUGAACUAAUUGAGACAAAUGUCCUAAAACCAUGGUCUCUUUUCUAGGAGAGGAAAUGCUAUAGUAAGACUGGCAGUGGGUUAAACUUCGGAAGAUUUGCAGAACUUAUUUAUACUGAAAGCCCAUGAUAUCUUUAACAGCAUUAGUCAGUCCAUUGCAAGCUAGUAUGUUCUGAUUCUCUGUACCUUUCAUGGACUUUUAGUAGAACUGGAUCAAAGAUUCUAGUGAGAGCAGUUUCAGUAUCAGUGAUCCAUACAAGAAGCUGUGUGCUAGCAUUGAUCAGGCUGUGAUGCAAGUGUUGUGAAAUUGGAAUAUUUGUUUCGAAAAGGUACAGAACCUGAAGCUGGAAAGUCCCAGCUACUUUUUUGGUUAAAAAACUAUUUCUAGCACUAAAGCACUAACUUUUUUUUUUUUUUUCCUGUACAAAACAUGGGCUUGACUUAUUAACGGAAAAUUAUAAUUAGCCUCAAAUUCAUAUUUUCUCAUUUAGAUAUUUGUAGGGCAGAGGUGGCAUUUAAUCAGGAAAGGAAGCGAAAAGAGAUUUCAUUCUCAACCUACCAAGCUGUAGUGUUGCCCGGCUGCCCUGCAGAAAUCUCUCAUGUCUCCCAUGCACCAGGCAGCAGCAAAUGAGCCCAUUAAGUAGUUCUUCCUGCUCGGAUGACCAGCUGGAUAACAGUUAAUCUUGACAUUUUAAACAGAACCGACAAUUUGACAAUAAUUUAUAUAGCUGUGGGAGAGUUCAUUAUGUCAGGGGACUGCAUCUACAAUGCACAAUGGAAAUGAAUCUAGGAAGGAUUUUAAUAAAGAGGAGCUAUGCUGUGUGAAGGGACAACAUGGAGGAUCAAAUGGAGUGGGGGGCAUGAAGACUGCCUUUGUACAAAUAUGAACAUAUGAAAAGAGAUUGUGGAUGGAAUGGAAUUUCACCAGAGAAGGGGACUCCCCAUGUGCAGGCACUAUGGACUAAGCUACUCUAUCAGACUUGGAUUUUGCCAUCAGAACUGGAUUUUGCCAAAGUGCAGCACAGUGUGAGGAAGUUUCAGGCUGAGCUGUUGUACAGAGAAGCAACUCAGGAGGCCAACUUAACUAAGAGUAUUAGACACCUAGAAAGAGCACACAUUAUAGUUUUGGUGGGUUUUUGUGGUUUUGUUUGUUUGGGGUUUUUUUUGUUGGUUGGUUGGUUGUUUUGGUUUUGUUUGCCUUUGGGUUUUUUGUGUGUUGGUUUUUGUUGUUCUUGUUUUGUUUUGGGGUUUUUGUGGUUGACGGGGUAUUUGUUUGUUGCUGUUUUGUUUGUUUUGUGUUUGGUUGGUUUUUGGUGUUUUGUUUUGUUUUGUUUUUUUUUCAUUAAAUGACUCCUAGAAGGUAAAUUGUCUGUUCAAGAUAAUCUCUCAACAUAGAUUUCAACCGUGCUGUGCUGGCAUCCUCAGAAAGUCCUUGCCUAGGUGUUGGUUGAUUGUUACUAUUAAAAAGGUGGGUACCCAGUGAUGGGCUGCAGGACACAGGUUAAAGCUGUAACUCAAAACCAUAUAGCAAUGUAUAUUAGGCUAUUGAGCAAGCUAUACAGUACCCUGGUGUUGCGUGACUGAGCCUAAGGAGAGAUGUAUGCAAACUAAACAUGCAGGUAGAGUCCUUAGAAGGCAAAGAGCACAUUAAACCACAUCAAGGUAUCUGUGAGCUACUUCUAAAAGGUUAAAAAACAGCUUGCUUAAAGAGAGGUGACAAUGAUAAGAGAGACAGAUAAUGUAAUUGGAUAAAAAUAAUUUUACUUCCAGAAUGCUCUUUUGAACUGCUCACUAUAACUUCACAGAAAGUUAUUUGCAAUUUCAGGCUGCAUUUAGCAAAGUUGCAAUUGAAACAAAAAAAAGGAGAGCAGAUAUAAUCCCAUAUGUCUACUAAGUAAAUAGUACUAGCUGGCAAGAGGAAAAUAUGACUGGGCCAGCAGUGUUACUAGCUUUUGAUCUUUUGGAAAAACUUAAAAUGAAUAAAAUCAGAGGGAGGGUGUGAAAGGUGUCUGACAGUGUGUUACUGAAUGAGGGAGCGGGUGGGUUUUGGUAGCUUUUGUUUUUAAAUUGUAUUAAUAAAAUCGUUGCAAGCAUGAUUCACGUGGCAUCAAUCUCCUUCCUGAGCUAAAAGGAAGAAGGAGAGCCAGUCCCACCUGCAGCUUGUCGUCUCCCAUUGCAGCUGUCAGGUUUGGUAGGACACAGGGUUGCAGUCCCAUGCGAGACACUGAAGAUGAGACUCUUGGAGGCAUCACAACAGCCUGGAUUCAAAACAGGAGAUGGUUCCAGCAAAACCUGCAUAUUUUUCAGUGAAAAAAAAAAAAAAAGGUGACUUGAGAUCUACUGAAAUCCACUGAAGGAAGAGCAUGGUAAGGGCUUCAGGAGACCUAUGGUGAAGACCAUUCUAAGAAAUAAUAUUGAUUCCACUACAUGUGUUUAAUUUACAAGCUGCACUGAUCAUUAAUCUGUUACACAGACUGCAAAGGAAACACUUUUAAAUGACAGCAGACGAAAUAGAAGAGUUUUAUUAAAUGACUGUGUUUCCAUGGAAUUGACACUCUAGCCUUACUUUGCCCAAGAUGGAUGGUUGCUAGCAUGAUCACAUUAAUUGUGAAGAGACCAGAAAUAGUCGGUAAUGAAGAAACUGAUAUGAAGGAAAAAUCUCUCUUUUUCUUGAACUGAUAAUUGUAGAGUUUGUAUGUCCAAAACAAUGAGUUUGGAAAAAUUGUAACAAAAUCAAAUUGAAACAGCCAAUGUCACUAAAGCCUAGUUUCUCAAAACAUUGCCCAGGUUUCUUUAACAUUUCAUUACUGAACAUAACUCUCAGAUAUACUCUUCCAAAGAAGGAGAAAAAGACUUUAGAAGGUCCUAUUAAUAGAAGGAUGAUAAUUUAACCUGGGAGGAAAGAUGUAAUGUGAGGAUAUUGGUUGUUGUUAUAGGCAACUGUUGUUAAUUGCCAGAGAUUUAAGACAAAGCAGAUUCUUCGAGGGAGAAUUUGUUCUAGAGGAACUGAUCAGCUGCUGCCUCCUGGGGCUUCUAACUCUGGCUGGAGCCACAGGCUUUGUGAUGUCAUUUGCUCAGACAUUGUAUAUGCGAUUAUAACACCUUCUUGUCUGGCCACACUUCUCCCAUUACCACCUUCCUACUGCUGGCUCAUUUCCUUCGUUCUUCUGAAUCCUAUGUCAACGAACUUAAUCUCUUCUCCACUUCUGCAGUUCUCUGGGGUGACUUUCAGUACUUACUGACAAAAUAAUGUCUUUAGAUGUUAAUACUAAAUUAACAGUUCUAACUAGAGCAUAAUUUUUGCUCAACCGCCAUAGCCCUCCCCAUUUUUCUUAUGCCUCUGUUGUCUAUUUGGAAAUGUUGCAGAGCUUUCACAAAAGUUCGAGUUACUGAAGUACCCUCAUUACACUGUGUUAUUUUCACUAUACAUAGCAAAUUGAAGCAAGAAGGGUGCCUGAAAUUGGGAUAACUUUCCAGCUGAUAACAAUAUAUUUUGCAAUGCAUAGUUCACAAGGGCCGUUUAACACAGAUUUCUCAUUAGCAUAAUAGUCUUGCAUGUUAAAUGUUUUAUAUGACAUUUCCACAGCUACUAUGGGCAAUAAAUAAAAUGGCUUUUCUAUAAGAAAAUAUUUUCUUGGUAAAUGUGCUUAUGAAAGUGUUUUAACUCCUUACUACUGCUCAGAACCAUCGUGUGCUAUCGUGAUUUUGUCUUCGAUUGUGCAUCUUCAUCUGUGAACAUCAAAGAGCCCACACUGCUAUUCUUCCUCAACCAGCUGUUGGCUUUAUUAUGCCAAAUUCUGGUUUCCGUAGCAUAGACUGAAGUAAUUAUUUUCAUUAUAAAUGGAUCAAAAAUUGCUUUGUCACCUGACAGACUCUUUGAGGGGAUUUUGCAUAAAGAGAAAAAACCCAUACUUUUCCCAGAAGUAGUUUCUAGAAACUACCUUGACACAAAGUGAAAGCUCUGUGCCAAUCAUUCAGACUUGUUUAGCCGAAAAACAGAAGUACAGUCCAGGCUGGACAGUGGAGAAAACAACAUUUAAGGUGGUGCCCUGCACAGCCAGUCUUCUUAGAGUGGUAAGAGCAUUUGGGUUGCAACUGAAAUAAAGAGCUGGUCUAGAAAAAUGCUAGAGCAGAAAACCUUUUACUUGGUCUGGUCUCGGAUGAGGUAGAACAUGGUGUGGUAGAUUAAACCCAAGGACACAAGAGGGUGCUUAACAAGUUCUGGUGAAGGAAAGUGAGAGAUGAUUUACCAUCACAUAAAGUAAAUGGAUGGUGCAUUGAGGUACAUCAGUAGGAGUACUGAGUCACAGCUCAUCAUCUGGAAACCUGGAAAUUUUCAGUACUAGAGUAACCCAGCAGUUGCUGUAUGUAUUCUGGGAGUAAUGGGAAAAUGACAAGUAAUGCUUUUUGGAGCAUAUUAUAAAAUAAGUGGGUUUUAUCUUCUGGGUGUUUCCAUCCUAUAAGUUUUCCUGUCAGAUUUAGGAGAACAAUAUUUCACUUGGCGUUCAGUUUGUCUCUGAAUCACUGUAACAAUGAAAGUUAUUAUUCCAAACUUCAAUUGCUGAGGAAAAAAAGGCAGAGCUGUUUGGGAGGUGGGUGGGAAAGAAGAGAAGGGGGGGAUAGGAAGAAAGUCUGUGCAUGAUCAAUCUAAUUUUCUGCAUCUCACAAACUUAAGGCAAAUAUGAUAACAUUUGAUUAAUAUUCAUUGUGAAGUGAUCGAACGCUUGUUUUCUUGGUUUGAAAAUCAGAGUAAAGAGAACUUUUCUUCUGUGAUGGGCUAGAUUUACAAGCAGCUUUCUGUAAGACCUGAAAUGAGUGAUGACUUUUUUUUUAAAGGGAACAGCCUAUGCAGUGGACAUGCUUCAGUGAAAAAGACAAGAACCUUCAGCUUGAAUUUAAUACAUUUGUAACAGUUAUAAGAAAAACACCUGCAGACAAAACAAUAUGUUUAUGGAGGAUUUAGGGGAAAAUAACAGAAUUCUUCUAGAUUGGAGAUAUGUCAGUGUGGUCUCUACUGCUGAUGUGCUGUUUGAAGAGACACAAAAUUCAGUUGAGAAGGCAAAACUGAAAAACUAUCAUAUUUUUUUAAUAUUCUCAUGUAUUAUAAGCUCAAAGAGAAAAAGGAUAAAUAUUCAAUCUAGAGAUAAAAUACUCAAUCUAGAGAUAAAAUAUUAUUUAUUACUUAUUAGAUGUAAAAGCUUGUGCUAGAUGUUUAACUAUUGCCUUCGUAAGCAGAGUUAUGGCACCCAAAUGUUCACAUUGUCUUCUGAAUUAUUACACCAGUGUGCCACUAGGUUGUUAGGUUUUGGAGUGAAAGACCAGAACCGUUUUCUUGGUUGGAGUCAAGUCAAAACGCUUUUUCUAAAAGCCUGCAUCAAUUUUUAUCCUCAUUUCUACAGGUUUAUUUGCACUUUUUUGGUGAAAGUUUUGCUUGAUUUUGAUCUUUCUACAUUAAGAAUAGCUUGCAGAUGUGCUUAUAUAUAAUUAAUGUUUAUUAAUUUUGUGAAAUUAAAUUGUUUAAACUUGUUCCAGAUAAGUACCUGCCCACGUUGCUAUUAAAAAUUUGUGUUACACUUGCUACUUUUACUACAUACAGACUUCUGGUUUAUUACUCAUUAAAUAUUCAGAUAGUCUGGUGUCUCGCUUAUGAGACACAAGAAGAGGAACUGAAAAUAGCCUUAAUUCUGCAGAAGACUAGACAAAGGCAAGUGAAUUUAUUUUUGUAGCUUACUUCUUAAUAUCACUAGACUGCAACGUGAUAUCAUGGUUUGUAACAUGACUGCAUGGCUUACCUUGAAAAAGCUGGGUCCCAAAAUAUGGAAUUAGAAUAAAGCAUUUGGGAAAGGCAAA